GCAUGAAAAACAAGCGUUUCACUGUACCGCGGUACGUGUGACAAUAAUAAAUCAAAUCAAACUUAUCCAGACAAGAAUGGCAAAGUCACUGGAUGUGGUGUCCAGUCCAGCAGCAGAGACAGAGCAAGAUGAAAGAAUACAAAAUAACCAAAUAAACUAGACAUUUCCUGUAA